UCUGUCUUUACUUCAAGGCAGAAAAAGAUGUGGAGAUUUGGGAUAACAGGUGACGUGUCUUGCCUGUGACAAUAAAUCCAAUACCAUUGAGCCCUUCUGGGACUUGUCACUGGAGUUUCCAGAGAGAUACCAUUGUAAUGGAAAAGAGACGUCUGCGCAGUAUCCUUGCUUGCUGACAGAAAUGUUGGCCAAGUUCACAGAGACCGAAGCCUUGGAAGGAAAUAUCUAUGCCUGCGAUCAGUGCAACACUAUCAUUGGCAGAUUCCUUCUUGCUGUCUGCAAUAGGACAGAAUGCCUUCCUAAUGGGACAUGUGCUGGUCUGAGUGUCAGACUGGUAAAUGGGAGCCAUGACUGUGAAGGCAGAGUGGAGAUCAAUCAGUGGGCAGGUACCCAAGGAAGUGCAGCAAACGUUUAAAUAACGAAAUGGCUUCAUGAGACCUUUGCAUCAAAUAGCCUUAUAGCUACCCGAACAAUGGCUUCCUCAUGUUUAUAAUCUUCCUAAUGAUCUCAUGCUCCUAAAUAUUCUAGUUGUGCUGCUUGUGAUAUUUUGAGAAUAAAGAGUGAAGUAGAUGGUGAUUGUGAAUAAUUGUUUUAUAAUGAACAUCACACAGAUUUUCAUAUCUGUUUGAUAUUCCAGUCUUUCCUUUUUUCUUUUGCAGAUAAAUGCUAGAAGUUAUAUAUACAAAGUUUUAUCUAGUUAUUGUUCCAACACCAAAA